CAGUAGCCACGGUAAUACGAAGGGGGCUAGCGUUGUUCGGAAUUACUGGGCGUAAAGGGCGCGUAGGCGGCCAUUCAAGUUAGAUGUGAAAGCCCUGGGCUCAACCUAGGAAUCGCAUUUGAUACUGUUUGGCUUGAGUUCGGGAGAGGUGAGUGGAAUUCCCAGUGUAGAGGUGAAAUUCGUAGAUAUUGGGAAGAACACCAGUGGCGAAGGCGGCUCACUGGACCGACACUGACGCUGAGGCGCGAAAGCGUGGGGAGCAAACAGGAUUAGAUACCCGGGUAGUCCCUGUCUCUUAUAC
rnacentral:rRNA from 1 species